rnacentral:rRNA from 1 species
CUUUACUACAACUUUGCAGUGGUAUUAGGGAUAGCAUGUGUAGCAUAGGUGGGACGCUGUGAAGCUUGGGCGCAAGCCUGAGUGGAGCGGUCAGUGAAAUACCACCCUUGUAAUCCUUGAUAUCUAACUGAGCCCGGAGAAACACGGGCCAGGACCCUGCAUGGCGGGUAGUUUGACUGGGGCGGUCGCCUCCCAAAGCAUAACGGAGGCGCGCGAUGGUUAGCUCAGGAUGGUCGGAAAUCAUCUGUUGAGUGCAAUGGCAUAAGCUAGCCUGACUGCAAGACGUACAUGUCAAGCAGAGACGAAAGUCGGUCAUAGUGAUCCGGUGGUUCUUCGUGGAGGGGCCAUCGCUCAACGAAUAAAAGGUA